rnacentral:rRNA from 1 species
CUUUUACAAUGAAGAGUUUGAUCCUGGCUCAGGAUGAACGCUAGCUACAGGCUUAACACAUGCAAGUCGAGGGGCAGCAUCAUCAAAGCUUGCUUUGAUGGAUGGCGACCGGCGCACGGGUGAGUAACACGUAUCCAACCUGCCGACAACACUGGGAUAGCCUUUCGAAAGAAAGAUUAAUACCGGAUGGCAUAGUUUUCCCGCAUGGGAUGAUUAUUAAAGAAUUUCGGUUGUCGAUGGGGAUGCGUUCCAUUAGGCAGUUGGCGGGGUAACGGCCCACCAAACCAACGAUGGAUAGGGGUUCUGAGAGGAAGGUCCCCCACAUUGGAACUGAGACACGGUCCAAACUCCUACGGGAGGCAGCAGUGAGGAAUAUUGGUCAAUGGACGAGAGUCUGAACCAGCCAAGUAGCGUGAAGGAUGACUGCCCUAUGGGUUGUAAACUUCUUUUAUACGGGAAUAAAGUGAGCCACGUGUGGCUUUUUGUAUGUACCGUAUGAAUAAGGAUCGGCUAACUCCGUGCCAGCAGCCGCGGUAAUACGGAGGAUCCGAGCGUUAUCCGGAUUUAUUGGGUUUAAAGGGAGCGUAGGCGGGUUGUUAAGUCAGUUGUGAAAGUUUGCGGCUCAACCGUAAAAUUGCAGUUGAUACUGGCGACCUUGAGUGCAACAGAGGUAGGCGGAAUUCGUGGUGUAGCGGUGAAAUGCUUAGAUAUCACGAAGAACUCCGAUUGCGAAGGCAGCUUACUGGAUUGUAACUGACGCUGAUGCUCGAAAGUGUGGGUAUCAAACAGGAUUAGAUACCCUGGUAGUCCACACAGUAAACGAUGAAUACUCGCUGUUGGCGAUAUACUGUCAGCGGCCAAGCGAAAGCAUUAAGUAUUCCACCUGGGGAGUACGCCGGCAACGGUGAAACUCAAAGGAAUUGACGGGGGCCCGCACAAGCGGAGGAACAUGUGGUUUAAUUCGAUGAUACGCGAGGAACCUUACCCGGGCUUAAAUUGCAACUGACGGAACCGGAAACGGUUCUUUCUUCGGACAGUUGUGAAGGUGCUGCAUGGUUGUCGUCAGCUCGUGCCGUGAGGUGUCGGCUUAAGUGCCAUAACGAGCGCAACCCUUACGGGUAGUUACCAUCAGGUUAUGCUGGGGACUCUACCCGGACUGCCGUCGUAAGAUGUGAGGAAGGUGGGGAUGACGUCAAAUCAGCACGGCCCUUACGUCCGGGGCUACACACGUGUUACAAUGGGGGGUACAGAAGGCAGCUACACGGCGACGUGGUGCUAAUCCCAAAAGCCUCUCUCAGUUCGGAUUGGAGUCUGCAACCCGACUCCAUGAAGCUGGAUUCGCUAGUAAUCGCGCAUCAGCCACGGCGCGGUGAAUACGUUCCCGGGCCUUGUACACACCGCCCGUCAAGCCAUGAAAGCCGGGGGUACCUGAAGUACGUAACCGCGAGGAGCGUCCUAGGGUAAAACUGGUGAUUGGGGCUAAGUCGUAACAAGGUAGCCGUACCGGAAGGUGCGGCUGGAACACCUCCUUUCU